rnacentral:rRNA from 1 species
GAUGAACGCUGGCGGCGUGCCUAAUACAUGCAAGUAGAACGCUGAAGCUUGGUGCUUGCACCGAGCGGAUGAGUUGCGAACGGGUGAGUAACGCGUAGGUAACCUGCCUCUUAGCGGGGGAUAACUAUUGGAAACGAUAGCUAAUACCGCAUAAAAGUCGAUAUCGCAUGAUAUUGAUUUGAAAGGUGCAAAUGCAUCACUAAGAGAUGGACCUGCGUUGUAUUAGCUAGUUGGUGAGGUAACGGCUCACCAAGGCGACGAUACAUAGCCGACCUGAGAGGGUGAUCGGCCACACUGGGACUGAGACACGGCCCAGACUCCUACGGGAGGCAGCAGUAGGGAAUCUUCGGCAAUGGGGGCAACCCUGACCGAGCAACGCCGCGUGAGUGAAGAAGGGUUUCGGAUCGUAAAGCUCUGUUGUAAGAGAAGAACGAGUGUGAGAGUGGAAAGUUCACACUGUGACGGUAACUUACCAGAAAGGGACGGCUAACUACGUG